CAGCCGCCACGGUAACACGUAGGUGGCAAGCGUUGUCCGGAAUUAUUGGGCGUAAAGGGCUCGCAGGCGGUUUCUUAAGUCUGAUGUGAAAGCCCCCGGCUCAACCGGGGAGGGUCAUUGGAAACUGGGAAACUUGAGUGCAGAAGAGGAGAGUGGAAUUCCACGUGUAGCGGUGAAAUGCGUAGAGAUGUGGAGGAACACCAGUGGCGAAGGCGACUCUCUGGUCCGUAACUGACGCUGAGGAGCGAAAGCGUGGGGAGCGAACAGGAUUAGAUACCCCUGUAGUCCCUGUCUCUUAUAC
rnacentral:rRNA from 1 species